AUUUGGCUCAGUGGUAGAGCGCCCGCCUCGCACAUGCGAGACCCUGGGUUCGAUUAUCAGCACCAGAUA
rnacentral:tRNA from 1 species